rnacentral:tRNA from 1 species
GCUUUUGUAGUUGAAUGAACAACGGCGUUUUUUCAGAUCGCAGGUCCGGCUUAAGAUUUCGGCGAAAGUU